AACGAACGCUGGCGGCAUGCCUAACACAUGCAAGUCGAACGAUCCCUUCGGGGAUAGUGGCGCACGGGUGCGUAACGCGUGGGAACCUGCCCUUAGGUUCGGAAUAACUCAGAGAAAUUUGAGCUAAUACCGGAUAAUGUCUUCGGACCAAAGAUUUAUCGCCUUUGGAUGGGCCCGCGUUGGAUUAGCUAGUUGGUGGGGUAAAGGCCUACCAAGGCGACGAUCCAUAGCUGGUCUGAGAGGAUGAUCAGCCACACUGGGACUGAGACACGGCCCAGACCCCACCGGGGGGCGGCGGUGGGGAAUUUUGGACAGGGGGGAAAGGCCGAACCCACCAAUGCCGGGUGGGUGAGAAAGGCCUUGGGGUUGAAAGGCUCUUUUACCCGGGAGAAAAUGACGGGAACGGGGGAAAAAGCCCCGGCUAACCUCGUG
rnacentral:rRNA from 1 species